UACAGAGGGUGCGAGCGUUGUUCGGAAUUAUUGGGCGUAAAGAGCGUGUAGGCGGCCUGAAAGGUCAGCUGUGAAAACUUGAGGCUUAACCUCGAGACGUCGGUUGAAACCAUCUGGCUAGAGUCCGGAAGAGGAGUGUGGAAUUCCCGGUGUAGCAGUGAAAUGCGCAGAUAUCGGGAAGAACACCCGUGGCGAAGGCGGCACUCUGGGACGGUACUGACGCUGAGACGCGAAAGCGUGGGGAGCGAACAGG
rnacentral:rRNA from 1 species